rnacentral:rRNA from 1 species
CCCUUAGAUGUCCUGGGCCGCACGCGCGCUACACUGAUGCAUGCAACGAGUUUAUAACCUUGGCCUGAAAGGUCUGGGUAAUCUUUUGAACGUGCAUCGUGAUAGGGAUAGAUUAUUGCAAUUGUUAAUCUUGAACGAGGAAUUCCUAGUAAACGCGAGUCAUCAGCUCGCAUUGAUUACGUCCCUGCCCUUUGUACACACCGCCCGUCGCUCCUACCGAUUGAGUGAGCCGAUGAAACUGCCGGAUGUGGACUAUUCAUAGUCUGCAGAAGAUAUUUGAAUCGUAGCGCUUAGAGGAAGGAGAAGUCGUAACA